rnacentral:lncRNA from 1 species
GGCUUGUUGUUCAUCGUUUGUACUAUCUUAUAUUUUUCUUGACAAUUAUAAGAUAUGAAUGUCAUAUGGGUGUCAUUUCUCAAAAAAAAAAAUGUUUCGGCCACGCUACAACAGUUCUUGUGGACUAGCUCCGGGCCAAGUUUUCGCCCGAACGACAGCAUGAUGCCGCUGAAGCGAGUCCAAAUAGUUAUUGGGAUAAGAGGAAGAACUUGAGUUGCUGGCGCCGAAGAUGCUGAGGGUUCUCUGAUGCAUGAUGUGGCGCCACAAGCUUGUCAAAACUGCCACCGCGACGGGAUGUGAACGGGGGUUGUAACUCAGAUCAACUUAGAAGCAACGGCAUCACCAGAGGUGAAGAAGCUCUUGCUGACUGUAAGUGUGGUUCAAGUUGUGUCUUCGGAUUGAAUGUAGAAUACGGUAAAACUAAACGAUGCUGGCCUGAAAGCAAACAAAAGGAAAAAAAACACUAGUUUCGAGCAAAAUGGCAUUUAAUUUUGCUUGAUUUCUUCGUAGAACACGUUUUUCUUUAUUGAGCAAAGAUGGAAGACCAGGGGA